rnacentral:rRNA from 1 species
ACGGAGGGUGCGAGCGUUUAUCGGAAUUACUGGGCGUAAAGCGUGCGUAGGCGGAUGCUUGAGUCGGAUGUGAAAGCCCCGGGCUUAACCUGGGAAUGGCAUUCGAUACUGGGCAUCUAGAGUGUGGUAGAGGGGGGUAGAAUUCCUGGUGUAGCGGUGAAAUGCGUAGAUAUCAGGAGGAAUACCGGUGGCGAAGGCGACCCCCUGGACCAACACUGACGCUGAGGUACGAAAGCGUGGGUAGCAAACAGGAUUAGAUACCCUGGUAGUCCACGCCGUAAACGAUGUCAACUAGUCGUCGGGGACUUCGGUCUUUGGUGGCGCAGCUAACGCGUGAAGUUGACCGCCUGGGGAGUACGGCCGCAAGGUUA